GCCAUGGUGCUACAAUCGAUGUCAGCUGACUAGUCGGUUGUUAUUGUAUAUUCACAUACUUUUGAUAUGGUUCACAUCUUCGGAUGAGUUCAGUUGCAUCUUUUUUUAUGGUGGGCCAAUAAUAUCCUUGUCGCAGGACUUUAUAAGCUAAAGACUUGCCCCCUAAGUGAUUUUCGUAAAUCUCUUCGUGUACUUCUCUAAGUGCAUAGUCGGU
rnacentral:lncRNA from 1 species